ensembl:lncRNA
CACAAUUGUAGCACGGACACUACUAACAGUGAAUGUGUCUGUAUCCAGCAAGACACAACAAAACCUUCAAUCUAAGUGCGCUGCCUGGAUACAAGAUUGACAUUGCAAAUAAGGACCUGAGCCCUAGGACCAUUCCUCAGGACUACCUGGCCUGAUGACUCCUUGCUGUCCCCAGUCCACCUGGUCGUGCUGCUACUCCAGUUUCAACUGUUCUGCCUGCGGCUAUGGAACUCUGACCUGUUCACCGGACGUGCUACCUGGUUCCGGACCUGCUGUUUUCGACUCUCUCUCUUUACCGCACCUGCUGUCUCUAACUCUGAAUGAUCGGCUAUGAAAAGCCAACUGACAUUUACUCCUGAGGUGCUGACCUGUUGCACCCUCUGCAAACACUGUGAUUAUUAUUAUUUGACCCUGCUGGUCAUCUAUGAACAUUUGAACAUCUUGGCCAUGUACUGUUAUAAUCUCCACCUGGCACAGCCAGAAGAGGACUGGCCACCGCUCAGAGCCUGGUUCCUCUAGGUUUCUUCCUAGGUUCCAGCCUUUCUAUGGAGUUUUUCCUAGCCA